rnacentral:rRNA from 1 species
UACGUAUGGUGCAAGCGUUAAUCGGAAUUACUGGGCGUAAAGCGCGUGUAGGCGGCCCGGAAAGUCGGAUGUGAAAGCCCUGGGCUUAACCUAGGAAGUGCAUUCGAAACUGCCGGGCUUGAGUUCUGGAGAGGAAGGCGGAAUUCUCGGUGUAGAGGUGAAAUUCGUAGAUAUCGAGAGGAACACCGGUGGCGAAGGCGGCCUUCUGGACAGUGACUGACGCUGAGACGCGAAAGCGUGGGGAGCAAACAGG